rnacentral:misc_RNA from 1 species
AACACUGUUAACCUGCGGUACCUGCGGAAGGAUCAUUAAAAAGAGUGUGUACCCCUCUGUAAAAUGAGUGGGUUACCUCCCGUCCUUUGUUGACCUCUUAGGAGGUUAUUUUGAACUUUCUGCUUCGGUGGGGUUAAACCUACCGGAACACCCUCAAAUUCUUAUCAUUUAAAAAUUGUUCAGUCUGAUUUUUGUUAAUAAAAACAAAAAACUUUCAACAAUGGAUCUCAGAUCGGAAGA